GAAAUUCAUCAAAAGGAAGAGGAGGAAAAGAAAAAUAUUAAAAAAAAAAAAGAAACAAAAAAAAAAAAAAAGAAGAGAAAGGAAAUGAGAGGCGGAAAAAAUGGGGGAAAAGACAACUUUCAGAGACUGGAAUUAAAACCCGAGCCCGAGGCCUGUCCUGCAGCAGCUCCGGGGAUGCCCACCACACCAGGCUGGACCUGGGUUCACCUACCUGCUGCUCAUUUUCUGACUGACAAAUUAUCUCUGGCCCUGGUGAGACUUCACUGG